rnacentral:rRNA from 1 species
AGAGUUUGAUCCUGGCUCAGGAUAAACGCUGGCGGCGUGCCUAACACAUGCAAGUCGAACGCCCUGCGCAAGCAGGGAGUGGCGGACGGGUGAGUAACGCGUGGAUCAUCUACUGCGGUGAGGAAUACUGGCGAGAAAUCGCCAACAAUACCGCAUAUGCUCACGCAAGUGAGCAAAGCAUCGCAAGAUGCGCCGGAGGA